UACGUAGGGUGCGAGCGUUGUCCGGAAUUAUUGGGCGUAAAGAGCUUGUAGGUGGUUUGUCGCGUCUGCUGUGAAAAUCCGAGGCUCAACCUCGGACUUGCAGUGGGUACGGGCAGACUAGAGUGUGGUAGGGGAGACUGGAAUUCCGUGGUGUAGCGGUGGAAUGCGCAGAUAUCAGGAGGAACACCGAUGGCGAAGGCAGGUCUCUGGGC
rnacentral:rRNA from 1 species